UCAAUAGGAAAAAAAUGACAACUAUUCCAAUCUUCAAAGCUUUUUUACUUAGACAUUUUCAUCUUAAUUCAAAGAUGUUCUUGAAAUAUCUGCAAACAAAUCACAUUAUUAUAAAAGAAUUCAUAUAUCAGAAUCUUCUCUCUAGCCUGGCCUUUGAGUUUGGAUUCCAUGCCUUGGAAAAUUUUCUUAAUAGAUCUGGCUUGUGUGUGUCCAUCUACUGUAAAGUUUUGCUGACUCUACUGCAGAUUGAGCAAUUAGGCCUAAUAAUCAAUCAAGUUAAAUAAUUGAAAAGUGACGUUAAAAUAUAAUUGCUGAUUUAUUUUAGAAACAUGGAUAUAUACAAAUAUAAUUUAUGCAUGUAAUAAGACUACUUCAUCCAUUGGUUUUCUAGAUCAAACAAUUAAAACCUCAAAAAAUCAGCACCC
rnacentral:lncRNA from 1 species